AUCUGCCCAUUAGAGGGGGAUAACCUGGGGAAACCCAGGCUAAUACCGCAUAAUCCCUACGGGGGAAAGCAGGGGAUCUUCGGACCUUGUGCUGAUGGAUGAGCUCGCGUCGGAUUAGCUUGUUGGUGAGGUAAUGGCUCACCAAGGCGACGAUCCGUAGCUGGUCUUAGAGGAUGAUCAGCCACACCGGGACUGAGACACGGCCCGGACUAAUACGGGAGGCAGCAGUGGGGAAUCUUGGACAAUGGGGGCAACCCUGAUCCAGCCAUGCCGCGUGUGUGAAGAAGGCCUUCGGGUUGUAAAGCACUUUCAGUAGGGAGGAAGGCUUAUCCUUAAUACGGAUGAGUACUUGACGUUACCUACAGAAGAAGCACCGGCUAAUUUCGUGCCAGCAGCCGCGGUAAUACGAAAGGUGCGAGCGUUAAUCGGAAUUACUGGGCGUAAAGCGCGCGUAGGCGGUUUGCUAAGUCAGAUGUGAAAGCCCCGGGCUCAACCUGGGAACUGCAUUUGAAACUGGCAGGCUAGAAUGCAGUAGAGGGAGGUGGAAUUUCCGGUGUAGCGGUGAAAUGCGUAGAGAUCGGAAGGAACACCAGUGGCGAAGGCGGCCUCCUGGACUGACAUUGACGCU
rnacentral:rRNA from 1 species